rnacentral:rRNA from 1 species
CCAAAAAUGUAUAGAGACUAAAAAGUUUACCGAAGCAGUAAAUAAAAAUAAAUUUUUAUGGUAGUGGAACGUUUUGUAUUUUUUUGAAGAGAAAUUGUAAAAUUUCUUGAAGAAAUCAAAAGUGAGAAUGCUGACAUAAGUAACGAAAAAUAUAGUGUAUAAAUCUAUAUCGCUGUAAAUUCAAAGAUUUCAGUGUACAGGUUCCCUGCAAUGAGUGAUACAGUCUCUAAGACUAUAGUGAAAACUUAAGUUGAUGAGGAAAAAGAUUGAAUAUUUCUUUUAUAAUUUAAGAAAAAUAAAAAGAAAGAGUCACUUAUUAUUUUAUGUUAAUUAUUUUAAUGAUAAGCGAUUAUUUUUUUUCUGGAAAAAUUCUUAAAUACAAACUGUACUUAAACCGACACAGGUGAAUUGGUAUAAAUGUACUAAAGCGAUUGAAAGAAUAAUAUUGAAGGAACUCGGCAAAAUAACUCUGUUACUUCGGUAUAAGGAGAGUCACUGCUUAACAAUUAUUAAGCAAGUGAUGUCAAAAAUAUGGGGUAGCGACUGUUUAAUAAAAACACAGGACUCUGCUAAAUUGUAAAAUGAUGUAUAGAGUCUGACACCUGCCCAGUGCUGUAAAGUUAAAAAUUAAGAGUUUAGGCUUUUAAUUUAAUCUCCAGUAAACGGCGGCUGUAACUCUGACGGUCCUAAGGUAGCGAAAUUCCUUGUCUAGUAAUUUUAGACCUGCAUGAAUGGUGUAACGACUUCCCCACUGUCUCCAAUAUUCUUUCAGUGAAAUUAGAAUAUCCGUGAAGAUACGGAUUUUAUAUGAUUAGACGGAAAGACCCUGUGCACCUUUACUAGAUUUUUAUAUUGUUACAAAAAUUAAACUGUGUAGAAUAGGUGGGAGCUUAGGAUUAAAAAAGAAGCGCUCUUGAAAUACCACCCUUUUUAAUAUUUUGAACUCAUUUAAUCCCUUUGGCCAGUGCGCGCAGCCUUCAGCGCGGCCUUCACAAAUUGCGGGACCGAAAUUUCUCGACCCGCUACUUGCAGUCAGAUUUCUUUUAGUCGCGCUAUUUUUUGGCGCAAUCUUUCUACUUGAACCAGCCUCUGAGCAUUUCCGA